CUGGGGCUGCACUGCUCAUGCCUUCCUGUUCCUUGGAGCUGGGAGAAGUUCACUCCGAUCAGCUGAUCCCAACUGACAACAGGAGAGGAGGAAGCCCGGGAGGCAGUGGAGGAGGAGGGGGCAGAGAUGGAGAUGAGGAUGGAUCCGCCGGGGCCCUAGCGCAGCCCCCGUCCCGCCGGUGCCCCGCGGCCCGCACACCGCCUAGCCGCGCCGCGGCCGCAGCGAGCUUCUCCGAGGUAUCUCUUGAAUACUGACUUGAGGUUCAAGUAUACUGAACAGAUCUUGACCACUUUAUUUCAUUACCAAAACAUUGAGCUGAUAAGCCCAUCUUUGUGAAAGCACCCGACGUCUCAUAAGCAUCAAAGACCUGUCAAGUUCAUUUUGUUCACAUCUUUCCCCGAACUUUACUGAGGAUGAAACCAUCACACCAGAUCAACAUUGCUGCUGAUAUAAGAAUCUUGGAGGUAGAGAAUUAAAAUUUUGAACAUUUGAAGUGUUUAUAAAAUUAUAAUCAGACAGGCUUUCUUUUUUUAAAGUGUUCAGAACCCUGUGGAAGCUGCAGCAGUCUUCAGACUCAAAGCCUUGUCUUCCAUCCUGGGAAAGCACAGUGACUGUUACAGGGUGGGUGGUUUCCUGAGGAAUCUAAGUAAUGAGUGCCCAGACUUCUCCAGCAGAGAAGGGCCUGAAUCCGGGGCUGAUGUGCCAAGAGAGUUACGCCUGCAGUGGGACUGAUGAAGCUGUCUUCGAGUGUGAUGAGUGCUGUAGUUUGCAGUGUCUUCGCUGUGAGGAGGAACUCCAUCGGCAGGAGCGCCUGCGAAACCAUGAGCGGAUAAGACUCAAAGCUGGUCACAUCCCCUACUGUGACCCCUGCAAGGGCCCCAAUGGGCAUUCUCCAGGUGUUAGACAGAGGGCAGCUGUGAGGUGCCAGGCCUGCAAAAUCAAUUUGUGCCUGGAGUGCCAGAAGAGGACUCAUUCUGGGGGUAACAAGAGGAGACACCCCAUUACUGUGUACCAUGUCAGUAGGGUCCACGAGUCCCUGGAGGGGGAGGAGAUGGAUGAGGAGACCAAGAAAAAGAAGAUGACUGAGAAGGUUGUGAGUUUUCUCCUGGUAGAUGAGAAUGAAGAGAUUCAGGUAACAAAUGAAGAGGACUUUAUUAGGAAAUUGGACUGUAAACCUGAUCAGCACCUGAAGGUGGUUUCCAUUUUUGGAAAUACUGGUGAUGGAAAGUCUCAUACCCUCAACCACACUUUCUUCUAUGGUCGGGAAGUCUUCAAAACGUCCCCUGCUCAGGAGUCCUGCACAGUAGGAGUGUGGGCAGCCUAUGACCCAGUCCACAAAGUAGCAGUGAUAGACACAGAAGGACUCUUGGGGGCUACCGUGAAUCUAAGCCAGAGAACACGGCUGCUGCUAAAGGUCCUGGCCAUCUCAGACCUGGUCAUCUAUCGAACUCAUGCAGACCGGCUGCAUAAUGACCUCUUCAAAUUCCUUGGGGAUGCCUCGGAAGCUUAUCUGAAGCACUUUACCAAGGAGCUCAAGGCUACCACUGCUCGCUGUGGCCUGGAUGUCCCCUUAUCCACCCUGGGCCCUGCAGUUAUUAUUUUCCAUGAGACUGUGCACACUCAACUACUGGGCUCUGAUCACCCCUCAGAGGCACCAGAGAAGCUCAUCCAGGACCGGUUCCGGAAAUUGGGUCGCUUUCCUGAAGCUUUCAGUUCCAUUCACUACAAAGGAACAAGGACUUACAACCCUCCCACAGACUUCUCUGGGCUUCGGCGUGCUUUGGAGCAACUUUUAGAGAACAACACCACUAGGUCUCCCCGGCAUCCAGGGGUCAUCUUCAAAGCCCUGAAGGCACUGAGCGACCGCUUCAGUGGCGAUAUCCCUGAUGACCAAAUGGCGCACAGCUCCUUUUUUCCAGAUGAGUACUUCACCUGCUCCUCCCUGUGCCUCAGCUGUGGAGUGGGAUGCAAGAACAGCAUGAAUCAUGGCAAGGAAGGAGUGCCUCAUGAAGCCAGGAGCCGCUGCAGGUACUCACACCAGUACGACAACCGAGUUUACACCUGCAAGGCCUGCUAUGAGAGAGGCAAGGAAGUCAGUGUGGUGCCCAAAACUUCUGCUUCCACUGACUCUCCCUGGAUGGGUCUUGCAAAGUACGCCUGGUCUGGGUAUGUGAUCGAAUGUCCUAACUGUGGUGUGGUCUAUCGGAGCCGGCAGUACUGGUUUGGGAACCAAGAUCCUGUGGAUACGGUGGUGCGGACAGAGAUUGUACAUGUGUGGCCUGGAACCGAUGCAUUUCUGAAGGACAACAACAAUGCUGCCCAGCGUCUGUUGGAUGGGAUGAAUUUCAUGGCUCAGUCAGUGUCUGAGCUUAGUCUUGGGCCCACUAAGGCUGUGACUUCCUGGCUGACAGACCAGAUUGCCCCUGCUUACUGGAGGCCCAACUCCCAGAUCCUGAACUGCAACAAGUGUGCGACAUCCUUUAAAGACAACGACACCAAGCAUCACUGCCGGGCCUGUGGGGAGGGCUUCUGCGAUAGCUGUUCAUCCAAGACCCGGCCAGUGCCCGAGCGGGGCUGGGGACCUGCGCCUGUGCGGGUGUGUGACAACUGCUACGACGCUAGGAAUGUCCAGUUAGAUGUUACCGAGGCACAGGCAGAUGAAGAAGGUGGAACGCUGAUUGCCCGGAAGGUGGGCGAGGCUGUGCAGAACACCUUGGGAGCUGUGGUGACAGCCAUUGACAUACCACUAGGCCUGGUGAAGGAUGCUGCCAGGCCAGCUUACUGGGUGCCAGACCACGAGAUCCUGCAUUGCCACAACUGCCACAAGGAGUUCAGCAUCAAGCUCUCCAAGCACCACUGCCGUGCCUGCGGACAGGGCUUCUGUGAUGAGUGCUCCCAUGACCGCAGGGCUGUCCCCUCUCGUGGCUGGGACCAUCCUGUCCGAGUCUGCUUCAACUGCAAUAAAAAGCCCGGUGACCUUUAACCCCAGCUCCCUCUUCGAGUCCUUCACAAUUCCUUAGGUUCUCAGGGUUAGAAACAGAAGUCUCGUUGAGGUAGGCCCUCCUUCCGGUCACCUGUUGUGGUGUCUCCUCUCCUCUCACAUCCCCUGGCACUUUCCCUACUUGGUGGGGGUGAGUUGGCGGCAGGCCCAAAGGCAUGAACCCCUCAGCUCUCAGAAAAGGGCAAGGAACCUGAAUCUACUGCAUUUAUUUCAGUUAAAAAUAAAUACAUAUAUCUAUAUCUCCAUAUGUGCAUAUAAAGGGGAUUUGGAAUAUAUUGAAGCUGCUUCUGCGAAGACUUAAUGCAGUGUGUCCACAGCACAGGGAUAAGGUGGCAGUGGCAGCAAGUCUUCCCCAUGAAGCGAGCCAGGUUUGGAACCACUGUGUUGCUCAUAGCCUAGUGCUGCUACUAAGCCUGGCAGCAUCCCUCUGGCCCUUUCUCCUCCUGUCCCCUGCUGCCUGGAUUUGAGGCUUCUCCUGCUUUUGAAGCAGCCUGAGGAGAGUUCUACUGAGCCCUCUGGGAGGUGAACCCCAGUUCUUGGUUUCAGCCUGUCGGAGAUCACCCAGCUUCAUGUGUAAGCCACUGGUGUGUGUGCGGAGGGUCAGAAGUAGGGUCUUCAACCCUAAAAAUCAAAAUGCAGGUGCUUGUGGUGUCCCUUGUAGAAGGGGAGCCCCGAAGGAACUGGUCUCCCCGAAGGGUCUCUGUUCCUUGAUGCUUCUGUCAGUCUCCACCAGGCUUUCCUAGAAGGCUACACCCUGCUCCUAAGUGAGAACCUGCCACCUCCCCUCUGCCCCUGGAGCCCCAAUCUGCUUGAGUGUCACACUAGAAUUUUAUCGUGCAGUGUCUUACUAUUUGUUUCCAGACGUGCAAAUCCUGUCUAUUGGAGGGGUUAUCAUGAGAUACCUUCCUGGGAAGGAAUGGACUGUUAGGGUUUUUGUUUUUUUUUUUUAAGUAUAUAUAAGACUCUCAGCAGAGCAUAAGGAAAAACUUUAUCUUUGGUUCUUGCAAGAAAAAUAAAUGAACGAAUGUUUGUCAUCAUGAGCUUGGACAUCACAUCAGUCAUGACUGGAAAGACUGUUACGCUGAAAUCCUGUCAGGGUAGUUUCUUGUCAAUGGCCAAAAAAAGAAUGAAAACAAGAUAAUUUUUGAUUGAACUGGUGGGUGGGUGGGUGUAGCCUUGGGGAGGUGCAUGGUCAAUCUUUCUGGGGGUGUGUCGUGGGACAGGAGCCCUGGAAUGGAUUGGUCCUUCUUAGACCUGUGUAUUAUCCAUUCACCAUCAUAAAGGAAUCUUCCUGCUGAACGCAGACUGUGCUGGCUCUUUCCUCUAAACCUCACUCUUGUCUUCUUUCCAAUUGAUGGGGGCAUAGCUUGUGGCCAGCAGAGCAAGCUGAGAGGUGUAUGUCUAAGUGUCCUGAAGAUUCCUCAACUAAAAGAGCCUGUGUCUCCCAGACUGUCUUGAGCUACCUACCAUCUUUGUGACUUUGCUCAGAAGUGGACACUGUCUAGCAUUGCAACAGCUCUUAUUCAACUGAAGCUAGUGUCUCCUGCUCAUUAAGCAUAUGCUGUACCACUGUACGUGCCCACCCCAAGCCCUGGUUAUGUCUGUAAAGUGCUAAUAAUUGGGUUACUAUUUA